GUGUGUGUGUGCGUGUGUGUAGAGAGGGGUGUGUGUGGGUGUGUGUGUGUGUGUGUGUGUGUAAGGGGAGGAAGGAAAGACAUGCUUCUCCAUGAGCCUCCUCUGUGCUGUUUGCUCACCCAUUUGCUCCACGUGGUGAGUUUUUAUACUUACUUUAUAAAUCUAAACGGACAAAUUUAAAUAGUAAGUUAGUUGUUCUGUUAUCAAGCAUGCAUACUCACUCCUCACAAUUUUGGUUGUUUUUUCUCAGUUGUGGUCAAAGUUAGAAUGACCUAGCCACUGUGGACAUACAUUUCACCAAGUCAUUUUAACAAGAUACAGGUGUUCUCACAAACAGCUUUUAAAGAAGGAAAACUUACACAGAAGAGUCCAACUAUAAUUACAAAAAAACAAAAACCAAAAAAAAUCUCUGAUUUUAUUUCUUACAUAUUUUUGCACAAGCUGGAACAAGGCGACUGAAAGCUAUUAUAUAUGGUGAACAGCUGACAGAAAGAGAGCCCAGAUUUAGGGUUUUCCCCAUGUAUUAGUGAGCUUGGGCUGCCAUAACAAAAUACCAUAAACAGAGUGGCUUAAAGAACUGAAACUUACUUCUCAGAGUUCUGGAAGCUGAAAGUCCAAGAUCAGGGUGUCAGUAUGGUCAGGUUCUGGUGAGAGCUCUCUUCCUGGUUUGCAGAUGGCUGCCUUCUCAUUGUGCCCUUCUCACAUGGUGCAGAGAAAGAGCAAGCUCUGUGAUGUCUCUUAUAAAAGCAAUAAUACCAUCAUGAAAG